GAUGAACGCUAGCGGCAGGCUUAAUACAUGCAAGUCGUGGGGCAGCAGGACUGUAGCAAUACAGUUGCUGGCGACCGGCAAACGGGUGCGGCACACGUACGCAACUUACCCUGAACUGGGGGAUAGCGCGGGGAAACCCGGAUUAAUACCCCGUAAUAUAGUGGAGUGGCAUCACUUGAUUAUUAAAGCCGCGGCGGUUCGGGCUGGGCGUGCGGCUGAUUAGGUAGGUGGUUGAGGUAACGGCUCGCCAAGACUACGAUCAGUAACGGGUGUGAGAGCAGGACCAGUGACAGGGGGACUGGGACACGGGCCCGAGUCCUACGGGAGGCAGUAGUAAGGGAUAUUGCGCAAGGGAGGCAACUCUGACCCAGCCAUGCCGCGUGGAGGAUGAAGGCCCUCUGGGUUGUAAACUUCUUUUAUAGGGGACGAAACCUGUGUAUUCUUACGCAGUUGACGGUACCCGAGGAAUAAGCACCGGCUAACUCCGUG
rnacentral:rRNA from 1 species